UUCUCUCAGCAACGGAUAUCUAGGCUCUCGCCAUGAUGAAGAAUGUAGCAAAAUGCGAUACUUAGUGUGAAUUAUAGAAUCCCGUGAAUCAUCGAGUCUUUUAAUGCAAGUUACGCUCGAGGCCUCGAUCGAGGGCACGUCUGCUUGGGCAUCA